CUGAAAGAUGGACAGAGAGACAGGAGAUGGUCCUUUAUAAUGCAGUGUGAUCUGUGCUGCAAUAGAGUUUUGGAAGCUAGAAGUUCAAAACGAGGUGUUGGCAGCACCAUGCUCUCUCUGAAGAUGCUAGGAAGAAUCUGCUCCAUGCCUUUCCAUUCGCUUCUGGGGUUUCCUGCAAGCCCUGACAUUCCUUGGCUUGUGGAUGCAUCACCCCAGUUUCCGUCCCCAUCAUCACAUGGCCUCCUCUCUGUGUGUGCCUCUGCGUUCCCUCUAUUCUUCUUCUAAGGACACCAACACCAGUCAUAGUGGAUUAAGGGUCCACUCCUAACUAAUUACAUCUGCAACAACCCUAUUUCCAAAUAAAGUCACAUUCUAAGAUUCCUAGGGAGAACAUGAAUUUUUGGGGGUGUGUGGAUACUGUUCAACCUGGGACAUGGAGUAAAUAAAUGGCAAGGAAGAUUACAGAUGACUUUAAGCUAAAGAGGGAGAUAGGGUUAAAUGUAGGACUUUUUUUUUUUUUCCAGGACGGGAG
rnacentral:lncRNA from 1 species